UGAAUAUAAAGCCUUUUAAAUGUUUCUUAAUUACUUACAAGUGGCAGAACACAGUGUGGCAGUUCCUGGUUUUUGAAGCAACGUGAUGUAGGAUAUUCUACAAGUACAAAGAAAAGCUACAUGAAAAAUAGAAUCAUCAUUACAUUGUCUUCCUUCCUGCUGAACUCUGCAGUCCCAUAUUGUAUUGCGGAGGUACUGCCAAGCAGAGACCUCACAUUUUCAUCACCCGAAACUCUCCACAUGGCUGUAUCACAUGACAUCUGAAUUUU
rnacentral:lncRNA from 1 species